rnacentral:rRNA from 1 species
CCUACGGGUGGCUGCAGUGGGGAAUAUUGGACAAUGGGGGCAACCCUGAUCCAGCCAUGCCGCGUGUGUGAAGAAGGCCCUCGGGUUGUAAAGCACUUUCAGUGAGGAAGAACGCCUGGUGGUUAAUACCCAUCAGGAAAGACAUCACUCACAGAAGAAGCACCGGCUAACUCCGUGCCAGCAGCCGCGGUAAUACGGAGGGUGCGAGCGUUAAUCGGAAUUACUGGGCGUAAAGCGCGCGUAGGUGGCUUGAUAAGCCGGUUGUGAAAGCCCCGGGCUCAACCUGGGAACGGCAUCCGGAACUGUCAAGCUAGAGUGCAGGAGAGGAAGGUAGAAUUCCCGGUGUAGCGGUGAAAUGCGUAGAGAUAGGGAGGAAUACCAGUGGCGAAGGCGGCCUUCUGGACUGACACUGACACUGAGGUGCGAAAGCGUGGGUAGCAAACAGGAUUAGAUACCCGAGUAGUC